GUCCACGCCGUAAACGAUGUCAACUAGCCGUUGGUCCUAUAUACAGGAUUAGUGGCGCAGCUAACGCAUUAAGUUGACCGCCUGGGGAGUACGGCCGCAAGGUUAAAACUCAAAUGAAUUGACGGGGGCCCGCACAAGCGGUGGAGCAUGUGGUUUAAUUCGAUGCAACGCGAAGAACCUUACCUACCCUUGACAUCCAGAGAAUCUCUUAGAGAUAGUAGAGUGCCUUCGGGAACUCUGAGACAGGUGCUGCAUGGCUGUCGU
rnacentral:rRNA from 1 species